GGUAGAGGUGUGGGGGCCGGUCCGAAAAUAAAGUUGGCAACAUCAGCUGAGCUCCCUUAAAGCUAAGUUACCCUUCUUACUUGUUGCCUGCUAUCCAAAAGAUUGAUCCAUACCAGUCUGGAUAAUGUACUGUACGCUGCAGCUAGUUAUAACUAAAUUUAAAUGUUCUUUUUUUUUAAAUUGGCGCGCCAACAAAUAUUUGGCUUUUAAAUGUGAUGUGGAAUCGAGAACGACGCCCAACCAUGAUGUAUCGCGAACGUCACCAGGUUUUACAUUUGAGGAGCAAAAUACCGAAUACUACCUCGACUAUGCGGACGUUCAAGACUCAUUCGAAGAAGCAGAAAACCGAGAUUGCAGAUUUGCAAGGUAAAUAGGCUGGAACUGGUUUCGCCAAUACCACUAGUCCACGAGCAGCACCUACCGAUUGUCUAAGGCGAGCAGAUCAACGUCUGUUGUAAUCGCCGACCUGCCACACACUGACAUUUCUCCAGAGAAUUCAAUCGACAUGCUAGUCAAAACAUUGGGUAGUAUGCUACACCAGUAGCUUAUGAAUAACCCUUUUGAUAAUGCAAACGCAUCUUAACUUAUUUGAAAGUGUUUUAGUUCUCCAUGAUAUGCUGAUUCAGAAUGCUAGUGAUCGCAAUAUGCAUUUUGCAAAAAGCUAAGAAGCAUCCGAUUGGUUUUUUCAAUAUCAAGAACUGUUGAUGUCCUUGUCAACUUUAGAUGUUAGAUAACUUAAUAAGAAUUAAACAAUAGCCGGGAGACCAGUUUAUUUAUAAUCCUACUGUAAUACCCGUAGUCUAUACUUCGGGCGAUAUAUGUUUAGCGAUGUUCGACCCAAUUUUUUUUUUUUGGUUUUCGUUGAUCCGUAUACGAGAAUCGCCCAUGGCGGUUCGUGACAUCUACUGUAGAAAUGUUAUACUUAACUUCGGCAUUUUUGCAAAAUUCGGGGUUAACACACAAGAUUAGCAAAACAUUAAUUUCAAUUAAUUAGUACAAAAAAAAAAGUACGAUCUGCGUAACACAGCAACUGUUUGCUUUACAUGAAAAGAUAUCCAGAUAACAAAAAAAGAGAUAUAAAAUAAAUGCUUGAACAUUAAA